ACAGACACCAGACUGCAAGAGGUCCCGUCUCUCCCUUGAAGUGAUGGGUGCGGCGGCCAAAGCUUCCAUAGAGGCCAGUCCGUCCGUCCUGGAUCUGGGUGAGGUGCUGGUUGGGGACUGUAAGUUGUUUGAGGUUCGGCUGCUCAACAGCAGCUCCUGUGCCAUCAGCUUCUCUUUGAGUGUCCUGCAGACAGUCAGUGUACGAGGCUCCCGUGAGGACACGCACAAAGACCCUGUCGUUCUGGAGCUGGAAAGCAUGCAGGGCACCAUCCCAUCUCGCUGCAGGCUGCCGAUCUCGU
ensembl:lncRNA